rnacentral:tRNA from 1 species
CGCCCCUUGGUCUAGUGGUUAUGACACUGUCCUUUCACGGCAGUAAUGGGAGUUCGAUUCUCCUAGGGGUGA